CAGAAGGAAUUUUUUUUAAAAGAAGGUACUGUGCAAACUUUUUACAUUACAAAAUCUUGCUCAGUUGCAAUCCAGACAUCCAACAGAGCAGGUCUCCUUUGGACUCCUUGGGAAUGGAUUUUUAUCGCAAAGAAGAAAUGAGCAGAGAGCUCAAGCUGGCUUUUCUCCAUCUGUGGAGACUUGUACUUGCUCCAUGGCUGCUCAUGGACCCCAGGAAAGAGGACAAGGAUUUCUCUAACAUACAGAGUGUACUGGAUCCUUUUGAUUUCUCAGCUCUUCAUUUUUCUUUCCCAGUGGAUGGAUGCAAAAAAUUUUAUCUGAAUAAUCCUAAGUUCCAUUCCUCAGGGCCCACUGUUCGCUGCUGUUCCCACCAUGCUCUGAACCAUUGGAGACUGUGCAUUGCGCAGGAAGACAUUCUGGAUUUGGAGAGCUGGUGCUUCUGGUGA
rnacentral:lncRNA from 1 species